rnacentral:rRNA from 1 species
AGAGUUUGAUCCUGGCUCAGGACGAACGCUGGCGGCGUGCCUAAUACAUGCAAGUAGAACGCUGAAGGAGGAGCUUGCUCUUCUGGAUGAGUUGCGAACGGGUGAGUAACGCGUAGGUAACCUGCCUGGUAGCGGGGGAUAACUAUUGGAAACGAUAGCUAAUACCGCAUAACAGUAGAUGUUGCAUGACAUUUGCUUGAAAGGUGCAAUUGCAUCACUACCAGAUGGACCUGCGUUGUAUUAGCUAGUUGGUGAGGUAACGGCUCACCAAGGCGACGAUACAUAGCCGACCUGAGAGGGUGAUCGGCCACACUGGGACUGAGACACGGCCCAGACUCCUACGGGAGGCAGCAGUAGGGAAUCUUCGGCAAUGGACGGAAGUCUGACCGAGCAACGCCGCGUGAGUGAAGAAGGUUUUCGGAUCGUAAAGCUCUGUUGUAAGAGAAGAACGAGUGUGAGAGUGGAAAGUUCACACUGUGACGGUAUCUUACCAGAAAGGACGGCUACUACGU